rnacentral:rRNA from 1 species
UCCAGACUCCUACGGGAGGCAGCAGUGGGGAAUAUUGCACAAUGGGGGAAACCCUGAUGCAGCGACGCCGCGUGAGUGAAGAAGUAUUUCGGUAUGUAAAGCUCUAUCAGCAGGGAAGAAAAUGACGGUACCUGACUAAGAAGCCCCGGCUAACUACGUGCCAGCAGCCGCGGUAAUACGUAGGGGGCAAGCGUUAUCCGGAUUUACUGGGUGUAAAGGGAGCGUAGGCGGCAUGGCAAGUCAGAUGUGAAAGCCCGGGGCUCAACCCCGGGACUGCAUUUGAAACUGUCAGGCUGGAGUGCAGGAGAGGUAAGUGGAAUUCCUAGUGUAGCGGUGAAAUGCGUAGAUAUUAGGAGGAACACCAGUUGCGAAGGCGGCUCUCUGGACUGUAACUGACACUGAGGCACGAAAGCGUGGGGAGCAAACAGGAUUAGAUACCCGUGUAC